AUUGAACGCUGGCGGCAGGCCUAACACAUGCAAGUCGAGCGGAUGAAGGGAGCUUGCUCCUGGAUUCAGCGGCGGACGGGUGAGUAAUGCCUAGGAAUCUGCCUGGUAGUGGGGGAUAACGUCCGGAAACGGGCGCUAAUACCGCAUACGUCCUGAGGGAGAAAGUGGGGGAUCUUCGGACCUCACGCUAUCAGAUGAGCCUAGGUCGGAUUAGCUAGUUGGUGGGGUAAAGGCCUACCAAGGCGACGAUCCGUAACUGGUCUGAGAGGAUGAUCAGUCACACUGGAACUGAGACACGGUCCAGACUCCUACGGGAGGCAGCAGUGGGGAAUAUUGGACAAUGGGCGAAAGCCUGAUCCAGCCAUGCCGCGUGUGUGAAGAAGGUCUUCGGAUUGUAAAACACUUUUAGUUGGGAGGAAGGGCAGUAAGUUAAUACCUUGCUGUUUUGACGUUACCAACAGAGUAAGCACCGGCUAACUUCGUG
rnacentral:rRNA from 1 species